rnacentral:lncRNA from 10 species
GACCCCGGCCGCCCCCGCCCCCGCCGCCGAGGAGCAGCCGGCGGGUGGAGCAUGCGCGGGAGGGCUCGCGCGUGCCACGCGCCGCGGGUCUGGCCAGUUCCGCGUCCGCAGCGUCCCAGUUUCUUCCUGUGAGCCUGGGGAGUGGCGGCUGCCGAGUCCGCCCCGCUCCUCGCGGGGGCAGGGGGAGGGGUUGGCCUCCGUGCAUUUCCGCUAGGUGGGGACCCCCGCCCUUGCGACCUGUCCGGUACGCCCGGAGGCCUUUUGCAGCGGUUCCAGCUGCGCCUUGACCGUUCCCGGUACGCACGGUGCAGCUGUUCGGCCGUGGCCGGAAGCGGACCUCUGGGUCUCGGUCACGGCUCUGGUGUGAGAAUAAACAAUCAGAAGCCUCUCGUUUGGAUUGGAAGGAACCGAGCGACCUUCCCAAACCUGUACCUUUUACCACGCCUGCCCUCCCCAUUCCCAAGGCUUUCUGUUGAACAGAAGUACCAGAUACGAGGUGCUGGAAGCGCAUAGUUAAGCUUAGUUUCUCUAUCCACAUUCCAAACAACCCGAGUUACCGGAAUUAAUAGGAGUGUGGGUCUGUGUGAGUGUGUGGUGGGGUGUGUUGGAGGUCUAGAAAGGACUAAUCAAUUUACUAAUCAUCCCCCCUUGGAGAAUUUUUUUAAAACUUUUUAUUUUGAAAUAGAUUACAGUUGAAAAUAUACUACAGACCUCUGUGGUCUUUCUCUCCAAAAGCCAUAACCCCUAUCUAACUAUGAGAAAACCAUUUGACAAACCCAAACUGUAGGACAUUAUUUUUAUAAAAUACCUAAACACUACUCAAAGAUAGUACAGAGAGAUCCAAUUUACUCUUUACCCAGUUUCCCCCAAUGGUUGCAUAUUACAUAAUUCUAGUACAAUCUCAAAAGGAGGGAUUUGAUAGUUGUAUGAUGUGUGUAUAGUUCAAUGUCAUUUUAUCACAUGUAGACCUACGCACCAUAGUCAAGAUGCAGAGUUGUAUGUUCUAUAUGUUUUGUGAUCAUUAGGUUAUUUUGGAAAGAACUAGUUUUCCUUAAAAACCUAAUCAAAGAUCUGUUGUGAGGAUUAAGAAUCAUUUGUAAAAUGUGUAGAAGAGCAUCUGACAAGUAUAUACUACGUGCUCAAUAAAAAUUAUAAAAGUUAAUUGCCCUCUCACAUUCAUGCGAACUUCCUUCAGGAAAUCUUCAUGGAUUACCUGAACUACAUCUUAAACUAUUAGCCAUCAGGCUACAUCUGAAACACUUAGAGAUUUGACUGUAUUCCUCUCUUCUUGGGGGUCCCUAAAAUACACUGAAGUUCCUGGGCCUGCCAGAGAGUGACAUUCCUUACUCAUCUGUGGUUCUUUUUUUUUUUUUUUUUUGGCUUUUUUGUUUGUUUUUGUUUGUUUAUUGAGACGGAGUCUCACUCCGUCGCCCAGGCUGGAGUGCAGUGGCGUGAUCUCAGCUCACUACAACUUCUGCCUCUUGGAUUCAAGCAAUUCUCGGCCUCAGCCUCCUGAAUAGCUGGGAUUACAGGCACCUGCCACCACGCCUGGCUAAUUUUUUUUUUUUUUUUUUUUUGUAUUUUUAGUAGAGAUGGGGUUUCACCAUCUUGGCCAGGUUGGUAUUGAACUCCUGA